GACGAACGCUGGCGGCGUGCUUAACACAUGCAAGUCGAGCGGUAAGGCCCUUUCGGGGGUACGACGAGCGGCGAACGGGUGAGUAACACGUGGGUGACCUGCCCUCCAGCUCUGGGAGUAAGCCCGGGAAACUGGGUCUAAUACCGGAUAUGACUCCAUGACGCAUGUUGUGGGGUGGAAAGCCUUGUGCGGCUGAGGAUGGGCCCGCGGCCUAUCAGCUUGUUGGUGGGGUGAUGGCCACCAAGGCGACGACGGGUAGCCGGCCUGAGAGGGCGACCGGCCACACUGGGACUGAGAUACGGCCCAGACUCCUACGGGAGGCAGCAGUGGGGAAUCUUGCGCAAUGGGCGAAAGCCUGACGCAGCGACGCCGCGUGAGGGAUGACGGCCU
rnacentral:rRNA from 1 species